AAAUCGACUUGGACUCGCACGCACGAGCGAGCGAGGCGUGUACCCUCGAGCGAGAACGAGGCCACACCACCACAUCCCUUCGCCGCCGCCUCGCACUUGCAUCCCUGCGCAGGUUGCGCUACCUCGACGGACCCUUUGCCGCCGCUGAGAUCCGAGAAGAGUCUCCCUUCGCCGCCGCCAAGAUCCCGUGCCUCUCUACAGAUCCCCCUCUCUCUUCUUCGCCCAUCCACCUAGAUCGAAAACCGUCGCCCCUUGGUCGCUGCUGGUGCUCGAGGGAAGACGAGGGCGGCUCCUCCCGGCGAUUCCGCGUGCGAGUAUAAAUCCAGCUCGCUUAUAAGUGUACUGUGCGCUGAUGUGGUCCCUUGGAAAAGUUCUAAAUACUCCUCAAGUUAUGCGUGUCUACAACUCUACAUUGGGUAAUACUUGUCUUCUAUCGUUCAUCACCUUUUCUCUGUAAUGUAAUGAUGCUUUAGUUAUCUUGUUACUUCUGGAAACUGACGGCUGUACAGUUCUAAUGUACUUUCAAUGAAAAAAAACCUACUUUAAAUAUUUCUGGAAAACCAAAAUAUAGUGCGAAAAUCCAGCACACAGUGGUUGCAGGAGUGAUUGUGUGGUCAUGUUUUUGCAUUGUAAGUUUGUAACCAGAAACUCACGUCCAAACUAAUAUUUGCCGGUCGUUUAAUGACAAGCCUGUGAGUCCCAGUACGGAAAAUUAACUAGGGCCAUUUGACCUACAGUUAGGGAGAUUGUUACUUGAGCGCAUACAUCCAAUGAAUACUGUAACUUGAGUACGUAUAGCCAGAGCAAUAAGAUAUUUCGGACACAGCCUGGAGAUUGGGCUUGACAAGCAAAAGCUUGUGUACAUCAUAGUGACUGCUCUUUAUGCUGGGUCAACUAAUGUGUGCCUUGUCUCUUACUGGCCCUGUUGGAUGCGUUCCCGACAGUCCAGUUCGCCUGUUUCACAUCAAUGUAAGCCAUUAAGGACGACCUUGUCUUUGCUCGCAUCGCGGUGCAGCGAACGGGCACGCGGUUGAACACACCAUGACUUCAGUUGCAAUUGCAGAAGCUGCUACCCGAGCCAUGAUUCAACAGAGGUCAGUGAGGAAGUUUGGGUUCUCACUCUCCUUUUCCACACUGCCGAUGUGGAGGUGGCAACUGGAUUGGUUAGUUUCCCAUGUUAUUUCCCUUUGUUUACUUUUCAUUACCACCUGGCUCAUCUACCUUUUCCUGAUCAAAAGGCUCUCAUCAUCUCCCUCACUUUGUUUGCUGUAAUAACCAAUCUACUAUCUUCAUUUAUACUUGUGCUGUUUCUUAGUAUGAGUUGUCUUUGGUCAGCUGAUUAUGUGUUAACUGUGGAUUAAUUUGGGUGUAGCAAAAACUUUUGGGUACAGACCUUGGUUGUUUAUUCGAUGUACUUGUUAGCCGUAAACCAUGCCAGGCCGUUGGAGGUCAGUGCUGGUCGUUGCAAGCUGUUGGGCAGGCCCGCGUUGCGUGCGGUUAUGCGCGUCGUGUGCGUGGAGAGCCCGGCCAGGUCGUGUGUGUCUGGGUGUUGUUUGACCAUAAUCUGGGCACUGUCUAAGUAGUGUAUGGCCAGUGUACGUGGUGUGCGUGUGUGUCCAUUGGUCAAAUCGGGGCUGGGCGGAAGCAGGGAUGGUCGAGCCGUAGGCCGUUGACGAGCGCAGUGCAGGAGCAAGGCGUGGAGGCCGGGUCUCGCGGAAGAGCAGUUGGCUCACGUUCGAGAAAGGCCGAGCCUCCAGGAGAUCGUGUACAUGCGCGUGGAGCUUGACAGAGGGCGUUGCGUGGGCAUUGCGUCGUUGACAGGCUAUAAGAGCUCUUGUAAUCCUUGUGUGUAUGGCUGUGCCAGCUAGUUGGAUAAUGGAAAACGGCGUCUAUGCGCCGAGGCGUUUGAGCGCCGGGAAAAUCCACUGAUGUCUCCUCUUUCUUCUACCUACGUUCGUGCGAGUGAGAGAGAGCGGGAGGGAGCUGGGCACCGGCGCAAGGAGCAAGCUAGGGCUCGGCGCCAACAAUUGGUAUCAGAGCUUCGUUAUCUUGGGCGUCGUUCUCCUUGCCGGAGGCGUGCCGGCGGUGGCGGAGUUCGCCGGCGGCUGCGCGAUGCUCCGGGCCGUGUGUCGGUCUAUGGAGGUGCGCGGCGCGGCGAGGAGGCAGCGGUGGCUGCGGCGGCACGGUGAGGAGGCCGCGGAGGAUCUGCGUGGUGGCGGCUUCAACGACACACAGCGGCAUGGCGGCAUGGAGGUGCUGCGCUGCGGUUGAGGCCGCAGCGGUGCAGGGUAAUAAGCCGCCGGCGAGCCGGGCGCGACCGGUGCGUGUUAUGGGUGCGCAUUGGACGUGUCAAGCGCGUCGGGACCGCGGGCGCGCGUACGAGCGUGCGGUUGACGUUGGGAGGAGGCGUAUGUCGCGGUUGUGCUCGAGUCCGUGCUCGAGUUCGGCUACAUCCUUCCGGUGUUUGUCGCUGGAGUUCGCGUCGGAGCGCGACGGGUGCGCCGGCCGGGGAGUGCGGGGCGUGGCGAAUGCAGCGGAGGAGUGACCGCGUCGGGGCGCUGGACUCGGGCCGUGGCGACUGCGUGCGUGCGCUUCGUGUACACGAGCCUGGGAGCGCGGGACGUGGGGUGCUGCGCGGCGGAGGCCGCAGCGGCGCGGUGCGACGGUCAUGACGACGACGACGACGACGACGGAAGCCGCAACAACUCCAGCGACGCCAGGUCGUGGUUUAGGGGGAGAAAUGUUAGCCGUAAACCAUGCCAGGCCGUUGGAGGUCAGUGCUGGUCGUUGCAAGCUGUUGGGCAGGCCCGCGUUGCGUGCGGUUAUGCGCGUCGUGUGCGUGGAGAGCCCGGCCAGGUCGUGUGUGUCUGGGUGUUGUCUGACCAUAAUCUGGGCACUGUCUAAGUAGUGUAUGGCCAGUGUACGUGGUGUGCAUGUGUGUCCAUUGGUCAGAUCGGGGCUGGGCGGAAGCAGGGAUGGCCGAGCCGCAGGCCGUUGACGAGCGCAGUGGAGGAGCAAGGCGUGGAGGCCGGGUCUCGCGGAAGAGCAGUUGGCUCACGUUCGAGAAAGGCCGAGCCUCCAGGAGAUCGUGUACGUGCGCGUGGAGCUUGGCAGAGGGUGUUGCGUGGGCAUUGCGUCGUUGACAGGUUAUAAGAGCUCUUGUAAUCCUUGUGUGUCUGGCUGUGCCAGCUAGUUGGAUAAUGGAAAACGGCGUCUAUGCGCCGAGGCGUUUGAGCGCCGGGAAAAUCCACUAAUGUCUCCUCUUUCUUCUACCUUCGUUCGUGCGAGUGAGAGAGAGCGGGAGGGAGCUGGGCACCGGCGCAAGGAGCAAGCUAGGGCUCGGCGCCAACAGUACUAAGGAGCCACCAUUGCAACCUUAACAAGGUUUUCGAGCAUCUUGCUUAAUUCACCAUUGGUAUCACCACGUUUUAAUUAAUAUUCUGGAUUACUGUUUCAUCCCACAGUCAUCUACAACACUUGCAGGUCAAAACAUUUGCAUACCAUAGUUUGGACAACCAAUAGACCCCUAGAAUCUGCUGCAUGGAGUGAGUUACCAAAUAGACAUGCAUAUGAUUUUUUUUUCUAUCACUAUUACAAUAUAUGGCUAUCAAUUUUUUAUUCAUUCCAUGAUUCAUUGCUCUUGUUAUUUCCUGAGGUAUUUGUUGCCACUUAUUAUUUUUUAUGGAGAUCUGGGUGGGUGUUUCUAGACACAAAUAAUUUUCUUUGUUGGUUUAUACGUUGCAUCUUAGGUUAAAUUAGUCAAUGAUGAUAAGGAAUGAAAUGUGGCCAUUGGUUAAUGGAUCUUUAGUGGAAUAGAUGUGAAAAGCAACAAUGAUAUACCCUGUAAAUUUGUGGGACCACAAAACCAAGUACCUUGUUGAAUAUAGAAUACUCUGAAUGCUUGAACUCAAAUAUUGGUCAUGUUAGUGUUGACAGUGGUGAACAUUAGUCAGAUUGCCAUUGAUUGAGUUGUCAACACCGAUGAUUGGGGUUGUUUUUUCUGGUUGAACAAUGCCAACAUCGCAUAGUGGGUCAUCUCAAUUUCAUGUGACCUGAAAUUGUGAUGUCUUUGAAUAUAUUUUGAUCUGACGAGGUACUAAUAUUUUGGUCAACUAUAAAAUAUUUGCUUCUCUGUGCCGCAAUAUAAACUUAUUCUUACUGUAUUAUCCUCAGUUAUUCUGAUAGGACCAUAGGAGUUCAAGAUUACUUGUCUAGAGGUAAUUGUCAGAAGCAGCCUCCGAAGUUUGCUUGUUUUGAAUUUAGUAUUUGUUGAAGUACAAAAUGUGUUGACUAAAAUGAUGAUUCCGUCAGAAAAAUUGUGUCAUUUGGAAUUAAGAUGUCUAUUGAUCUAUCCUUGUGCAUAACGAUUUGUCAAUACCUUAAGUUAUAGGUGAAGCUUUGCAUUAUUAUUGUCGGACCUAAAUUUCACCGAAGACUUCAAUAGGGGAUGUUGCCUCUUUCACCUGAUUGUUGUGAUUUUUCUUGACUCUCUGUCGUGGGUAAAUCAUAGUGCAAUUGCGUCUCGUAUUCUGUUUGGGCCUGUAGCCUGCAGGGCCAAUUAGGUGUGAGCAAUAAUGCAAUACGUGCAAAUAUUUUCCUUUGAUCUUCAACUCCCAACAUCUCUAAUAUUUCCAUGCGGCUCAGCCAUAUGCCCAAGAGAAUAAAACAACUCUUGCCUUUAGUGGAUACCCAAGAGUAAUUGAUGUUGUUCUGUUUUGAAUGAUGCCUCUAGCUGUGGUAGAAAUGUAUUCAGAAUACAUGGGAAAGCAAAUGCAUGUCAUGGUCAUGUUUAGGGAGGAAAAAUGGGGCAAAUAUCCCAUGUGAGCUUUAUCUUGUACAAAUCAUUUUGUUCUUCUGUGCUCUUGUAAGCGGGUUGUGGUUGAUUCAUAAAUUGGUCCAAUUUGGAUAUUUCCUAAUCAUAAUCAAGAUAUUUCGCACCAUAAAGAUUAAUUAUUGACAGUGUUAGUAAA